UCCCCGCCGCUAGCCCGGGCUAGGCAGGCAGGUCCACGCGCGCUGGGCGGGACUAGGCCGCGGGCUGUUCCGGUAGCGCCGGUCUAGGGAGGCAGGGCCGGCAGGGACGUUGCCAGGCCACGUCAUCCGGCCCAGCAACCCUCACUCCCGAGGGAGUGACCAAGCCUGCGCCUGCGCGCCGGUGAACGCGAGUCUUCCCUCGGGCUCCUCCCAUCGCAGAGACCGCCCGAGUCGCCCCGCCCUCCACCAGCGUCUCCUAGAGAAGCCCUGUGCACACUUACCCGUCCCUGCAGCGCCACCUACGGUCCAUCUCGGGUAUAGCGGGUUCUCGCUGUGCGUGGAAUGGACCGUCCCUUAGAAUAAAUGUACGUAGUUAUUACUAAACAGAGCUUGCCAGUUUUAGCCCUUUGCGUUAGGGUUCUUCUUUUUCAUACAGCCUCAUUCUGUAGCCCAGGUUGGCCUAGAACUCAGCAUGUAGCUCAGGCUAGCCUCCAACAUGCUGCAAUACUCACGUUUCAUACACCGGAGUGCUGAAUCGGCUGGCAGGAGCCACUUCUAGGCACGGCUAACUCCAAAUAAACAUUUUUUUUUUUUCUAUGAUGAGAACACUAAAAGGCUUUUAAAGUGCCUGUGACUCCCACGAAGAGACCCAGAAAGAAGGUAGCUGUCUGCACACACUGAAGCAAGCUCUUCCGUGAACCUGCCAAGUCCUCAAACCUCUUAAACUGGGAAACCAGCUCCUGUUGUUUCAUUGUCCCAGUCGAUGGUGGUACCCUGUUGUGAUAAGUUGGAUUUGGCAAAGAUACACUCCAUGUGACGAUGUCACAGACUCCUGGUCUAUGACAGGUUGAGCCUUUAGGUCUUCUGCCUGGAAUCUUGUGUGGCUGUUUUCUGUCCAGUGAUCUUUCUCCAUGGCAUUCUUGCAAGCUAACAGGAGAUGUGUGAUCAGAGAUGAAACAGCUGGUCUGGAGCCGCACAGAGAGCUGGGACCAGAGCUGAGGAUCCAUUCAUCCACCCAUCUCUCACUGCCCUGGAACUCACCAAGUAGAAUAGGCUGGGCAGGCCUGAGAGCCCCAGGGAUCUGCCUGUCUCCAACAUCACAGGGAAUGCAAGAUUUGAAAUGGAUGUGCACUCCCUACCAUUUUUGUUGCCAAGGGAGCACACAUCUGCCCUGGAAAACCUUCCUGUGGAGUAAUGUCAGCAAAGACAGAUGAAUGAGAGUACACACAGUUCUGGAAUAAUAGUGCAAUUUUGCUAAAGGAUGACGUCAUCUCUUUGCCAUUGUAUCUGCCAUCCUAAGUAGCCCAAAAUCCACCCAGGCUGGAGAAUGAAUUACAAGGACAUCACGCUGGCAAGGGUGACACCAGGGAAGCGUGCGCUGGGCUUUCUUUGGAUACAAAGAAAAGAAUGUCAUCAUCCCAAAAAAGUAGUUUGUGACUCUGUAUUGGUUUUGGAGAUCCCAUGGAAGCAGCAAAUACUAUUCUCAUUCUGCUGAUGGAAAACCCACUUCCAAGAAAGAAUAAUGGAGAACUCAGAGUGGCUUGUGAAAUAAAGC